UACGGAGGAUGCAAGCGUUAUCCGGAAUGAUUGGGCGUAAAGCGUCCGCAGGUGGCUGUGUAAGUCUGCUGUCAAAGCGUCUGGCUUAACCAGAUAAAGGCAGUGGAAACUACACGGCUAGAGUGCGUUCGGGGCAGAGGGAAUUCCUGGUGUAGCGGUGAAAUGCGUAGAUAUCAGGAAGAACACCCGUGGCGAAGGCGGCUCUCUGGGACGGUACUGACGCUGAGACGCGAAAGCGUGGGGAGCGAACAGG
rnacentral:rRNA from 1 species